rnacentral:lncRNA from 1 species
UGGAAGCAAAGAAAGGGGUUUUGAAGCUCUAAAAUAUCAGCCACUUACAUCCCUUGCUAGUAAGUGAUUUUUAAUAUUUUUCUUGAUGAUUUUUACAUUUUUGGAACCCCUAAAGCAUGAGUUGUCAUAAGAGGGGACUAUUUUGCAAAAUGAUUAAGAGUAUAGGGUUUUUCCAUGAGAGUAAAUGUGUUGUUUUCUGUGUUUUUAUGGAAGAUUAUGAGUCCUAGUUGUCUAAUAAACAACUUUUAUGAAAGAUAUUGCAUGAAAACACCUUAAAAAGUGCUAGAUUGCUAAGUUGUAAAAUGAGUUGUAAAUGUGUGAAGUAGUUAAAAUUAUGAGUUGCUAUAGUUAUGAAAAUGGUUCAUCUAGACUCAAGAAGUAAAGAAAUGUGAUAAAAAUUAUUUUACGAGCCUAGGGGUAAUUUGGUAAUUUUGGCAAAAUAUAGGGGAAAAAUUGUAAAAAUUGCCCAAGUGUGUCAAUGGACUAAUUUGAUCAGUACAUUGUUUUAAUAAGUUGAAUGUGAUGUUUUAGAUGAUGAAAAUCGAGAUUUGGACUUAGAACGGAAAGAAAUCGAUUAAGGGAUAAUUACGUCUUUUUCACCUUUGUGGUAUCGAGGUAAGUUUGUAUGUAAACAAUACCAUGCUAUACAUGUAUUUAAAUGUUAUAAUUACAUGAAUUGUACAAAUAUUAAUGUGUAUGUGAUUAAUAGAAAUAUGAUACUACAAAGCCUUAAUAGACGAGGAAAAAUCCCGUUUGAACCUUAGGAAUAGAAUAGGAUACGAGUGACAUGUCACUAGGAAUUAUGAGUCUAGAUGACUAGCUCAAGAGUGAGCAUUGAAAUGUCAUGAGAUAUGAGGUAGCUUUAGCUACAAUUGAGGCACUUAUGUGCAAAGGCUUUUCCGAGUAUCCAAUUAGUAUUCCAAGUGUUCAACGGGUAAUCCAAGGAAAGAGUUGAUGAUGGUCCCAAUGAGGUAAGUCAUUGGUGAGUAUGCACUUGAGUUAUGUUACGAGUUGUGCAACUAUGUAUACUAAGCCUAUGAGAAUGCCUUGAUAUGUGAUGAUCUAUGAUGCAUAAUAUGUGUUCUUACCAUGAUGGAUGAAAUGAUGUUGUAUUAAUUUUGUAAACAAUGAUAAUGAAUGAGUAACUUAGCCUUGACAGAUUUGAGUUACUGCAGUAGUGUAACUUUGAAAAUACACUAAAAAUAGUGGAAAAUGAGUUAGAGGCAAAAUAAAAUAUGAGAUUAAAUUUUAAUGAGUCUAUUUUCACAUGAAAGAAACAGGGGAAGAAAAAGAAUUCUAUAUCGUGUGAUAUUUGAAUUCUUGUGAAAUAGGGUCUGAAUGAAUUCGAGAUCCCCUAUUCUGACUUUAUAAAUUCACCAUAAAUUGUAAAAAAAUUAAGAGUCAUACAUUACAUUCAUGGAUUCCUUAUUGAGGCUAUUUUUAAGGGAAACAAACGUCAUGGUCGUUGGAAUUCUGUACAGGGAGAAAUUCAGUUUGUAGUGCACAUGGGUCAGAGUAGUCAUACCCUGAAACAGUGGAGAAUUUAACUAAUAAACUGUACAAAAUGGCCCAGCCAAAAAUUCUAGAAAGAAAUUAUUAAAUAGACAUAUAAGUCUAGUUUCAAGAGAAAUAGACAAGAACAUUAUUCGAAUCUUGUACAAUGAGAUAAUUGAACUUUAGUGCAGAAGGGUUGAAACUGUCAGACAGUGAAUCAGGAGCAAACUUGAGGAAUAAACUGUACUAAUUGGCUAAGCCAAAAAUUCUGGAAAUUUUUUGGAAGAAAGAUAAAUGAGUCUAGUUUCAGGAAAAAUUUACGGAACUUAAUUCGGAGUUUUGUGGCUCCAGAGAUAAAUAAUUUAGUGACUGUUGCUCAGGAAGACAACUUGUAGUGAACUUGAGAAUAUGUUGUAAACAUUGAUAAAACAAGUUAAUGAGUUGCUUAUUGUUUUCAUAUGAACUUACUAAGCGAAAGCUUACCCAUUCUUCUUUCCCAUGUUUUCUAGAGUUGCUAGGUUAGCUCAGGUUGGAGGCCGUCAGAGAUAUUAUCACCCUGUCGAGUUAACGCUAUCGGCGUAAGUAAACUCAAGUGAUUCGAGUCUAUGGCAUGUAUAGGCUUUUAAUGUGAGUAUGUAAUAUUAUGAUUUAGCCAAAGGCAUUGGCUUGUUAUUAAGGUAGUAUUGUAAUAUUAUGAUUUAGCCAAAGGCAUUGGCUUGUUAUUAAGGUAGUAUUAGUCAUGUAAAUUGGCCUAUGUCGGCUAAUGAUGUUAUGGGCCCAUAUGAUUAUUCUUAUGCAUGUAUGUUAUUAUCUCUUGUGAUGUGGCUUACAACAUGUAUGCCUAGAGAUUGAAUUGAGAUUCAUUGAUGAGCUAAUAACUAAUGCAGGAUUAAGUGAUUGGUAAAUAGUUAAUAAUGCUUCAUGAAUGGUUUGUGGAUAUGAUUAUGCAUGCUUUGUGAUGGACAUGAGGUUUGAUGACAUGUUGAUAGCUAUAGCAUUAAUGUGGUAAAGAUGAAAG